rnacentral:rRNA from 1 species
UACAGAGGUGGCAAGCGUUGUUCGGAAUUACUGGGCGUAAAGGGCGCGUAGGCGGUCCGAUAAGUCCCGUGUGAAAGCCCCCGGCUCAACUGGGGAACUGCACGGGAAACUGACGGACUUGAGUUCGGGAGAGGGAAGCGGAAUUCCGGGUGUAGCGGUGAAAUGCGUAGAUAUCUGGAGGAACACCGGUGGCGAAGGCGGCAUCCUGGACCGGUAUUGACACUGAGGCGCGAAAGCCAGGGGAGCAAACGGG